UAGGCACGAUGGGACAGAAUAUAGAUGAA
rnacentral:piRNA from 1 species